rnacentral:lncRNA from 1 species
AGUAUCUUCUAAGGGUGGUUGGAGAGUUUGAGUCCCUACAGACCAGUACAAACCUUACAUCGGAAAACGCAGAGCUGAGGUGUGACCUUGGUGAGUUUAUCCAGAACCUUGGACUUUGCAUCCUUCUUCGGAUAGGAUUCUAAUUCUAGUGCCCCUACCUCAUUUUAGAAGUAACAGAAGAGAAGACACAGUCAAAUUCAAGCUUCAAAGGGGAGGUGUGGGCAUUAAUAUUGAAAAUAAUUGGACACAUGCUUGGCUAGUCAGAUGGAGUUUUUCCUCUGCCCUAUUUAUUUUGUACCACCAACACCCUAGAUAGAAGUUUCCCUGCAUGGGGAAUGGAGUGAAGAGAAUUCACAGGCGAGUGAGAGAACUGGAUUGUUCAGAAAUAGUAAGCCUGUACAAUUUUAUCAAGAAUUUACAGUCUAAACUGAAUUCUUAAAAGGUAUAAUGCUACUAGAAUCCUACAGCAUGCUCUGUGACCCAUAUUUCCUGCAGAAUGAUAUUUCAGUUAAUUCUACGGAGAAAUGUCUUUUAAAGCUCUUAUAUGAAAUGAUACAGUUCUCAUAUCACAAAUUUAAAUGUUCAAGAAAUGUAAUUUCUCAUCUUAUCCAGAGUUUUAUCUAAAUGUCUAAAAUGUAGAGAAUGCCAGGCCAGAGUAAAGUUGAGGAAUUUAGGAGCAGGGAAUAGGUGAAGAGGAACUGGGAAGAGGCUAAAAUGAAGCAUUUAGGCCUCCUCAUUCCUUUCUAAUCUCAAAGUGUCAGUCCAGAGUUUGUGGCUCCAUACUCCUUAUCUUGGCUGUAAGAUAACUCCUGGACUAGCUUCUCCCAGCUGCAUAUGAAUGUCUAAAUGCUUAGGACUGUGUCAAGAUUGAUGCUUACCCACAUUUUUUCCAAGAAUGGAGGAGUGAUCAACUAAGCAAACAUUUGGUUAAUGAUUAAGCUAAUACCUUGGUAAAUAAAUAUGGUAAAUAAGUAUCUGGAAGAAACAUAGAAAAUGUCCUCCUCACCCAGGAUAAAGGAUUACUUAAUUCAUUGAUUAAUUCAAUUGUUUGCAUUUUCAGUAAAUACAUAUUGAGAUUUGUUUUAAUGUGCAAAAAAUUGUCAAGCUCUUUUAUUUUUUCAAUAAUAAAAAAAUACAACCUUUGAUCACAAAGAGAUGACAUA